GGGGCAGUAGCUCAGCUGGUAGAGCGCAGCCUUCGCAAGGCUGAGGCCGGCGGUUCGACUCCGCUCUGCUCCACCA
rnacentral:tRNA from 1 species